rnacentral:rRNA from 1 species
UACGGAGGAUGCAAGCGUUAUCCGGAAUGAUUGGGCGUAAAGCGUCCGCAGGUGGCAAUGUAAGUCUGCUGUUAAAGAGUCUAGCUCAACUAGAUAAAAGCAGUGGAAACUACAUAGCUAGAGUACGUUCGGGGCAGAGGGAAUUCCUGGUGUAGCGGUGAAAAUGCGUAGAGAUCAGGAAGAACACCGGUGGCGAAGGCGCUCUGCUAGGCCGUAACUGACACUGAGGGACGAAAAGCUAGGGGGAGCGAAAUGGGG